rnacentral:rRNA from 1 species
AAUGAACGUUGGCGGCAUGGAUUAGGCAUGCAAGUCGAGCGAGAAGGUCUUUUUGCUUGCAUUAAGACUGGACAGCGGCGAAAGGGUGAGUAACGCGUAGUUACCUGCCCCGGGGUCCGGAAUAGCCACGGGAAACUGUGGGUAAUGCCGGAUAACAUCUACGGAUCAAAGGUGUGAUUCCGCCCCGGGAGGGGACUGCGUCCUACUAGCUUGUUGGUGGGGUAACGGCCUACCAAGGCUCCGAUGGGUAGCGGGCGUGAGAGCGUGGCCCGUCACACUGGGACUGAGACACUGCCCAGACAUCUACGGAUGGCUGCAGUCGAGAAUCUUCGGCAAUGGACGAAAGUCUGACCGAGCAAUGCCGCGUGCGGGAUGAAGGCCCUCGGGUUGUAAACCGCGAAAGUGAGGAGGAAGGGCCCGUGAAGAGCGGGUCUUGACCGAUCCACAGUAAGGACGGGCUAAGUUCGUGCCAGCCGCCGCCGUAACAC